rnacentral:rRNA from 1 species
UGGCGGCAUGCCUUACACAUGCAAGUCGAACGGCAGCGCGGGGCAACCUGGCGGCGAGUGGCGAACGGGUGAGUAAUAUAUCGGAACGUACCCUGGAGUGGGGGAUAACGUAGCGAAAGUUACGCUAAUACCGCAUACGAUCUAAGGAUGAAAGUGGGGGAUCCGCAAGGACCUCAUGCUCGUGGAGCGGCCGAUAUCUGAUUAGCUAGUUGGUAGGGUAAAAGCCUACCAAGGCAUCGAUCAGUAGCUGGUCUGAGAGGACGACCAGCCACACUGGAACUGAGACACGGUCCAGACUCCUACGGGAGGCAGCAGUGGGGAAUUUUGGACAAUGGGCGCAAGCCUGAUCCAGCAAUGCCGCGUGAGUGAAGAAGGCCUUCGGGUUGUAAAGCUCUUUUGUCAGGGAAGAAACGGUGUUUUCUAAUACAGAGCACUAAUGACGGUACCUGAAGAAUAAGCACCGGCUAACUACGUGCCAGCAGCCGCGGUAAUACGUAGGGUGCAAGCGUUAAUCGGAAUUACUGGGCGUAAAGCGUGCGCAGGCGGUUUUGUAAGUCUGUCGUGAAAUCCCCGGGCUCAACCUGGGAAUGGCGAUGGAGACUGCAAGGCUAGAAUCUGGCAGAGGGGGGUAGAAUUCCACGUGUAGCAGUGAAAUGCGUAGAGAUGUGGAGGAACACCGAUGGCGAAGCCAGCCCCCUGGGUCAAGAUUGACGCUCAUGCACGAAAGCGUGGGG